rnacentral:rRNA from 1 species
GGCGAACGCUGGCGGCGUGCCUAAUACAUGCAAGUCGAGCGCAGGAAAUCAUCCGAACCCUUCGGGGGGACGUUGAUGGAAUGAGCGGCGGACGGGUGAGUAACACGUAAAGAACCUGCCCUCAGGUCUGGGAUAACCACGAGAAAUCGGGGCUAAUACCGGAUGGGUCAUCGGACCGCAUGGUCCGAGGAUGAAAGGCGCUUCGGCGUCGCCUGGGGAUGGCUUUGCGGUGCAUUAGCUAGUUGGUGGGGUAAUGGCCCACCAAGGCGACGAUGCAUAGCUGAGCUGGGAGGGUGAUCGGCCACACUGGGACUGAGACACGGCCCAGACUCCUACGGGAGGCAGCAGUAGGGAAUCUUCCACAAUGGACGAAAGUCUGAUGGAGCAACGCCGCGUGAACGAUGAAGGCCUUCGGGUCGUAAAGUUCUGUUGUAAGGGAAGAACAAGUGCCGCAGGCAAUGGCGGCACCUUGACGGUACCUUGCGAGAAAGCCACGGCUAACUACGUGCCAGCCGCCGCAGUAA